AAAACUAAACUUUUCUUUGCUCUCUCUCUGCAGAUCCAAGUCCGGUCAGGCCCCGGCGAGCUGCCACCGCCCUCCUCUGCGUCUCCAUCGCCGGCGACUGCCGUGCACGGCGGUUGGAAGUAAAAAAUUUCUCUCUUUUUUUGUGUUUUAAAAUGUAUUUACUUUUCUUUUUGUCUAUAUUGCCUAUUUAUACAUAUAUGGGUAUAAAAUAGGACGAUUGGCCAUGAAAUAACAACGAAAAAGAAGGAAAAAUAAAACUAACCACCUUAGGACUACGGCUUCUGUUUCUGAGGGCUUUGGGUUUAUUUUGAUGCCUUUUCUCUUAUUUCUUGAGGGCUAAUAAUGUUGUUUUUUUGCUUGAAUCUAUGUUCUUUUUUUGUAUUUGAAAAAAUGUCCGAAAUUACAAUGGUUUUGGAUUCGGCUUUAAAUAGCCGUUUACAUGCCUCUAAUCUUGCUUUCUCUCUAUUCUUAUUAAUGUUUGCAAGUACCAGUGGCGGUGGAUUUGACAAGGGCGAUGCUACAGGCGUCGUCAGAGGCAAGUGGGGGUAAAAGGGGGUUGACUGAACGGCUAGGGUUUUCUUCUUUUUUCUGAUUUUUUUAUUGGGCUAGGGCUCUUUUGGGCUUGGGGUAUUUGGGCUGUAAUUUAAUGGGUUUAGUGGGUUAUUUGGGCCCGCAAAUUGGGCUUGUACACAAAUAAUUAACACAAUUAUUUUAAUAAUUGACAUGGAUCUUUUUAAAACAGUUAUUCUAAUUUUGCAUGCCAAAGUAAGUUUUAAUUAUAAUAGUAUUUUAAAAAAUUCACGUAAAUAGUUUAAUUGAAAUAAUUAACAAUAAUAUUAUUUUUAUGAAUCUGUAUUGCUUUAUAUACUUGGUAGAUGUCUCCCAACACUUAAAUCACAUAAACUAGGGAAAGUGAGG
rnacentral:lncRNA from 1 species